AAAUCGCUAACAAAAAUGGCCGAAAAACGCCUACAAACUUCACUCGUUGCUGCCCGCUCUUUGGGAAUUACCCACUCAUUUUUAGUAUCUAUGUAAAGCUUAGAAUUUCUGCUUUCGGGUUCAUCUUGUCAUGAUUCUGUCCUUCUUGUCAUGAGUUUUCUAGUGUGUGGACAGAGUUGUGACAGUACAAUGUCUUUUGUGCUUGUUUUGUUAUGUGUGGAAGACACGUGGCCAUUGUGGUUACUUUGUGCUGCAUGUUUCUCCUGUCUCGUGCUUUGGCCCAGCCCCCUUCUUUUCCGGUAAUUUCCCCAUCAGUGUUUCAUUCCCGUCACCUGCCCGCCACCUUCCCUUUGUAAUUAUCCCUCAUUAAUUUUUUGCUCCCCAUCGUGGGUUUUUGUUUGUGUUUUGUUAAAUAAAAGUAUUUUUCGUUAACCCCUUGCUGUCUGCACCUGGGUUCUGCCUCCGAUCCUGACACAUCUACUCUCCACAACGUCAUUACAGUGUUGCAGGCAUGAAAGCACAGGAACAGAUACCACAGGACUAAUCGGAGAUAUAACAGCAGGAAACAGGUGAGUGUCUUUCCACUUUUUCUCUGAAUGAUUGUUUUUGUCAAUGGCAGUAAUUGUAGGGGAUCAGAAUGAGCAGACUGCAGGUAUAAUUACACGCCUCAUGCGCGGACGAAGUCCAUCACAUUGUCCUCAUCAUUUGGUGUGAGCGCCUGGCAUCAGGAUUGUUUUGCACUUCACUCCGAGUGAGCGCUCUGGCAACAUUCAUGAAGCUAUUCUCUGUGUUAACGCCCACUGUGUCACCUACUGUAUGCUCACUCUGUGCUGCAUGAAACAUGAAAGUGGACACCACUUAUUACACAGAGAGAGGUGACAAAGAUACAUAUAUAGUGGAUAAAAGUGUCUGCCAAAUGCAAACCUCAUAGAUUCUGUCCGAGAAAGUGCUGUGACACUUGCACACUUUCAGACACUUGGAAUCUCCAUUAUUGCAAAAUAAUCACUUUACUGUCUGCAGCUACUGUCUGCCACCAGUAAACCUUUGCCCUUUCCGGCCAUGCAAAACAUUACAUUUACUGCAUGUUUGCACAGAAAACAAUGAAAGGCCCUAAAUAACACAGAAAGGGUUGGUGGGGCAUUACUGGGCAUGGAAAUGUGUGUCAGCGCAGAGGAUAAUGUACUCCAUGUGUUGAAAUCUGACACUGUGUGCAUUGAGGCACAGCAGAAUGGAGAGGCACACUGCUGAUGGAGGACUUCCUCUUGUGCCGUUAACCCCCCAACACCACCCCACGCGUACACACACACACGUAAGAUGGAGCUGGACAGAGUGUACAGAAGAUGUAAUAUGUAAGGGAUAAUGUAUAUCUGCCGGUUGUAUCAUAUAUAUAUAUGAAUCCAGACAGCUUAAUUAGGUCUUGUAUUACCCUGAAAGGUUUUUUUUCCACAACAACUGGCUGGAUAUACAGUAUAUAUCCCACUUACCAUCCGCUUGUUAAGCCUGAUGUCACGCACCACCAUAUAUGGAAGGUCAUAUACUGUUUCCGGGUCCAAACGCUCAUUAAAAUGCAAAAAAUGCUAAUAUACACUCAUGGCGAGCUAUAAAACUAUCGGAAAACCGCGAUCCCGACCUUUCUCCUUAUAAUGAAAUCUUGUUAUGGUCUUACUAAGUCAACAUUGAAGUGAUAGUUCACUCACGGCACCCAUUGACUUCUAUUGUAUGGACAGAAAACCAAUGCAAGUGAAUGGGUGGUAGCGCUGAUUCGUUACCGACAUUCUUCAAAAUAUCUUCUUUUGUGUUCUGCAGAAGAAAGAAAGUCAUACAGGUUUGAAAUGACAAGAGGGUAAAUAAGUGAAUUUUCAUUUUUUGGUGAACUAUCACUUUAAAUAUAGGCUACCAAGGUUAUAUUUUCACAGAAUGAUCUUUACAUUAUGAAGGAUGAUUUUAUGCAGGGGCAUCAAUUCACCUAAAGCCAAGGUAUGGCAGACUCUCGUAAGGUCAUCUACUGUACCUCUACAUGACGGUCUCACAUAUAUUUAACAUUAUUCAUUCCUGACCCGAUCAUACAUGCUGUUACUGCAGCAGCCAUCCUCACAUAUAAUAAAGCACAACACGCUUUAAAUAAUCUAUUGAUGAAAACAUCAUAUAGUUUAAAAACAAAUGGAAGCAGAUCUGAUAUGUGAUGUAAAAAUUUAGAAGAGUGAAUCCAGCGGAUUCGAUCUUGCUUCGCUGCAGAGUCAGAACUGUAUGUCACACGUCUUUCACACUACACCACUGAAGCUGCUGAUAAAGCAGUGCUGUUUUUACACUCUUUUCUGGGGGAGGAGCCACCAACAUUUUUCGCACUUCGGACACCCAUGUUCCUGCAAUAAAUACUGCAAUAAAAUAUUACUUUGAAUUGACCUGACCAGACAGCCAAGGAAUGGCAGCCGCCAGCCCCUGCCAUACCCAAAUGAUGCCCCUGAUUUUAUGUAGAAAACAGUAAAUUACAAAAAUUGACUUUAGCUGGGUUGUCACAUACAGAAUCA